CGUGUAGGCGGAUUAUUAAGUCAGGUGUGAAAUCUCGGGGCCUAACCCCGAAACUGCGCCUGAAACUGAUAUUCUAGAAUCUCGGAGAGGGAAGGGGAAUUUCGCAUGUAGGAGUAAAAUCCGUAGAGAUGCGAAGGAACACCAGAGGCGAAGGCGCCUUCCUGGACGAGUAUUGACGCUGAGGCGCGAAAGCGUGGGGAGCAAACAGGAUUAGAUACCCUGGUAGUCC
rnacentral:rRNA from 1 species